CACGUAGGGGGCAAGCGUUGUCCGGAUUUAUUGGGCGUAAAGAGCUCGUAGGCGGUUCGGUAAGUCGGGUGUGAAACCUCCAGGCUCAACCUGGAGACGCCACCCGAUACUGCUGUGACUAGAGUCCGGUAGGGGAGCGUGGAAUUCCUGGUGUAGCGGUGAAAUGCGCAGAUAUCAGGAGGAACACCAGCGGCGAAGGCGGCGCUCUGGGCCGAUACUGACGCUGAGGAGCGAAAGCGUGGGGAGCGAACAGG
rnacentral:rRNA from 1 species